rnacentral:rRNA from 1 species
UGAGAGAUGAGGUGUAAAGGUGUUCCGUGUUGAACAGAUGCGCUGCCUAAUUAUUAUCGAGUGAGUGCUCAGAGAAGGUGAAAAGCCUGUUUGGUUGCGUCUAUCUGUUGAAUCGGUUCACUGACGAGUCUAGUUGUUUGAGAGUACAACUUAAAGCUGGUGGUAAAUUUCAUCAAAGGCUAAAUAUAUGAGGGGACUAAUAGCGAACAAGUACCAUGAGGGAAAGUUGAAAAGCACUCUGAAGAGAGAGUCCAACAGUGCGUGAAACCAUAUAGAGUAAAACAGAUAACUGUGUUGUUAUGUGGUGCGUCUAUCAACAGCGUACUCGGUGUUGCGAGGCUAUGAGUGUGAGCUGUUUAUUCAGACGAUCGCUCGUGGUUAGCAUAGCUGAAGGCUCUGUGUAUUAGUGCGUACUCAAUCAUUGAGAAACUAUGCUGCUGCGACAUCGGUGUCCACCCGCCCGCACCUAGUGUGAGGGUGGAUGUUGGGUUCUGCUAGUGGCGUAGUUUAGCUGUGUGACAGCUGUGAGAUACGUUUACUGAACGUACCUGCUCUGUCGGUAAAUUGGUUUAUUCCUUUUUGCUGUAAGUAUGGUGCGGUAGGUAAGUGUCUCGCCAUCAAUGUUUUAACAUUAGUUAUUUGACCCGUCUUGAAACACGGACCAAGGAGUUCAAAUGGCACGCGAGUCAUUGGGUUUAAGCACCCGAAGGCGAAGUGAAAUGCAAUUCUUUAUCGUUACUCGUAGUUGUUCUGCGACUAAGCGAUAAGCUACUCAUGCUU